AUGGGCCGGUUCCUGUCCUUGAGCAGGGUCUGGCUGUCCCAAAAUCCCAGCUCUGGCUAUCCCAAAAUCCCAGCUCUGGCUAUCCCAAUAUCCCAGUUCUGGCUAUCCCAGUAUCCCAGCUCUGGCUAUCCCAAUGUCCCAGCUCUGGCUAUCCCAAUAUCCCAGCUCUGGCUAUCCCAGUAUCCCAGCUCUGGCUAUCCCAAUAUCCCAGCUCUGGCUAUCCCAAUAUCCCAGCUCUGGCUGUCCCAAUAUCCCAGCUCAGCUCCCGCCCCCAUCCCCGGUGUCUGUGCCUCCAUCCGGCCCCGCUCGCUGCCGCAGCGCUCGCAGAGGGUCCCGUCCACGUCCCCCACAAUCAAGGACUGGGGGACCCCCGGGCCGGGCUCUGACAGCACCACUUCCAGGAACUGCAGGGAGUGGAGAACUGGGGGGACACGGAGAUUUGGGGGAGCUGAGGGGGCUGAAAGUGAGAGUUUGGGGAUCCAGGGGGGUCCACAGGCCAAGGAAAAGGGGGACAUGAAGAGAUGGCAGAGCUGGGAAGGAGGUUCAGGGGCUGAGAGCCAAGGAAAGGGGGUGCAGGGACUGGGAGAGCUGGGAUGGGGUGUCCAGGGAAUCCUGUGCCCAGGAAAGGGGGUGCCAGGGCUCCUGAACAUGAGGAAAGGAGGAGCUGGGAGCUGGGAAAGGCAGGAAUGGGGGCCCAGGGGUCCCAGGUCAGGGAAAAGGGUGGGACUGGGGGUUGGGAGAGGUGUGGGAUGGGAACAGGUUGUGUUGGUGCCGGAUAAGGGGGUGCAGGGGGGUCUCAGUGCCGGGCAAAGGGGUAAAAGGGUGUCUUGGUUCUCAGGAAUGGGGGUGCAGGGGGGUCUCAGGGUCACGGAAAUGGGGGGGCAGGGAUGGAGAGGUAGAAGGGAGUUCCAGGGGUCCUUGAGCCCAGGAAAGGGGAGUCCAGGGUUUCCCAAAAAGGGGUACCAGGGUGGGGACACCCGGGGUGUUUGGGAAGGGGGAGUUCAGAGGGUCUCUGGCUUUGCACAAAGGUGGGGCUGGGGGCUGGGAAAGGCAGGAAUGGGGGUCCAAGGUGUUCCAAGGCGUUCCAGGAUCAGGCACACGGGAAAUCUAGAGGCUGGGAGCAGGGAAAAGGGGAGCAGAGGGCCCUGA
rnacentral:lncRNA from 1 species